UACGAACGCUGGCGGCGGUGCCUAAUACAUGCAAGUCGAACGCUUCUUUCCUCCCGAGUGCUUGCACUCAAUUGGAAAGAGGAGUGGCGGACGGGUGAGUAACACGUGGGAAUCUGCCCUGUACUUCGGGAUAAGCUUGGGAAACUGGGUCUAAUACCGGAUAGGAAUCACAUGUGGGUGUGUGGUUGGAAAGCUUUUGCGGUAUGGGAUGAGCUCGCGGCCUAUCAGCUUGUUGGUGGGGUAAUGGCCUACCAAGGCGUCGACGGGUAGCCGGCCUGAAAGGGUGUACGGCCACAUUGGGACUGAGAUACGGCCCAG
rnacentral:rRNA from 1 species